rnacentral:lncRNA from 1 species
AUAUGAACUCUCCCGCCAUCUGACAAAAGCGCCUAUCGGCGUUUCUGCGUAUCGUGUUUGGUGUGGUUGCAGGUAAGAGGAUCUUCUGUGGUUUUACCACGGACAUUAGUCUUGGUGUUAAGGCUUGCAGGUCGAGAAAGAAGGGAGAGCACUUUGCGAGCCGUGGGAACAGAAGAAUGACAUCCUGGGGUGGGUGUAUUGAGUAUUGGUUGGUUGAGGCAGAGACGCAGGUGUCAGCGAGCUGAGGAGAGAACAGCUUCGUCGGAGGAGUGCUCAGGUAGGAUUGAGGGGCUUAAUUUUUAUAGGAGUUUGAGGAUGUUUCCUAAAAGGGGUUCGGAAGGACUGGAUUAGAAAGACGUGUUCUAUUUUCCGGGGUCAUAAUAUAGGAAGUGAUGAAUUGGACCCGGACCAUUAAGUCUCUUCUCUGGAAAGCCAGAAUCUACCGCGCUUUCCUCCGAAUUUACGAUUGCAGCGGGUUUAAAAUCUCAUCUUAACUCUUGGGACUGUAGAGAUCUAACGACGGUGGUACACAGACCUAUAGUGAACUGGCAAUAUCGCUUGACUUUGACUUUGAUGUUGCUGGAAGUUAUGACCACCACCUGCGUUUCACCGUACACACCCCCUCCUUCCCUACAGAAUUGUUACAGGUGUGUUGUAGAAAAUCUGGAAAAUCCAGAAAGACGCAUUGCCUCGGGAUGACCACUUUAACAUUUUAUGCAUGCCCUUCAGUUUUUUGCUGUGUAUGUGGAGUUGUUUUUUACACUUGUUGUUUGUUGUUUUCAACUCCAUUUGCCAUCCUUUUAACCCUUUUAUGUUUCCUUCCAAGAUAAUGAGAUGCAGUUUUCUGGAGGAAAUCGGAGAAGACUGAGGUUGGGAGGUGACCAAAGGAAUGCUUGCUAUCCUCAUAGCCUUCAGUUUUACUUGGAGCCACCUUCUGAAAACAUAUCUUUGAUUGAGUUUGAAAGCUUGGCUAUUGAUAGAGUUAAAUGUGAGUGAUAUUUGAAUUAGAAUUUAUAUAUUCUUGAGAACUUCACUUAUACUUUGUGGAAAUGAAUGAGGGUAAUUUCCUUCAUUCAGUUCAUUCUCGAAAUAUUUAUUGAGGGUUUGCUAUUUACUGUUCAGUGUAUAUUUAUUGAGUGCCACUAUAUUCUGGGGUGGGGAUUUCCAGAUGAAUAAUGUAAUUCUCAUAUUUGUUGAAGCUGUAUUCUAGUACGCACAUAAAGGCAUCCAAAAUAAUAAUCAUAAUUUAGUAUUGUAAGUGCCUUACUAGAGGUAAAUAGUAAUGCUCUUAUUUUUUUUAUUAAAAAAGUUUUUUUUAUACAUUUAUUUUUGAUACACACAGAGCACAAGUGGGGGAGGGGCAGAGAGAAGGAGACCCAGAAUCCGAAGCGGGCUCCACGCUCCAAGCUGUCAGCACAGAGCUGGACGCGGGGCUUGAACUCACAAACCAUGAAAUCAUGACCUGAGCCAAAGGUGGAUGCUUAACCGACUGAGCCACCCAGGCGCCCCAAAUAGUAAUGCUCUUAAAUCAGAAGCAGGGGUGACUUAGUUUGAUUAAGUAAGACUUCUUAGAGAAGUUGAAGUGUAAUCUGGACCUUGAAGGAUGAGUAGAAAUUUCUGAAAAGAGAAGUAGUUAAAGGUUUUUUCAGUCCAAGAUAACAAACUGUACUAAGGCUGGGAGGCAAAAGAGAGAAUGUUCUAUCUGAGGGAACAGUGACAAGUUCAGAGCAAAUGGAGAAGAAUGGAUAACCAAGGGCAUUUUUUUGCCAAGCUAACAGUGUAAUAUCAGGAUGUAGGCAGGAUGUGGCCUACUUAUCCUCUGUGUGCUAGUGGAAGAAAGAAAUAAGCUAGGCAUGAAUUGAAACAGAAAUAAAAGCAGUGUUUUCUGAGUUUAUGUUCCAGGAUAUCCCUGUGGGAAAAUCAGAAGGUAAGGUGAGAAACUGUUCAUCAUUUUUAGAAGAGCAGAGUGACAACUGCUAAUACACAGAGGGGGCACUUAGUGUCUGUUGACUGAAAGAGUGAAGACAAGGGAGAAAAGGGUUUUAGGAACCUUAGCAGUGUCAGAUGCUUCAUGGAGAUUAAGAGGAUGAUUGAAGAGUGUCCCUUGGAUUUGGCACUUAAGGGGCGAGCUAGUAAGUGCCUGAACUAAGGCAGUGACAAGUGGCAGUGUGUAGGCAGGGAGAGAUUUAAGGGAUACUGAGGAGGUAUUCCUGACAGGAUUUGGGAGUUGUUUGGAUGUGAGGAGUGAGGGGGCCAGUGGGGGUGGCUGAAAUUCCAGUCUGGAUGGUGUGGUUAGAAACUGUGCUAGUGGAGGGGUGCCUGAGUGGCUCAGUUGGUUAAGCAUCCGGCUUUGGCUUGGGUCAUGCUGCCAUGGUUCAUGAGUUCAAGCUCCACAUCAGGCUCUGUGCUGACAGCUCAGAGCCUGGAGCCUGCUUCAGAUUCUGUGUCUCCCUCUCUCUCUGCCCCUUCCCUGCUUACGUUCUGUCUAUCCCUCUCUCAAACAUAAAUAAAAAUUAAAAAAAAAAAAAACUAUGCUAGUUGAGAUGGGGAUGAUAGGAAGAGGGGCAGGACUGAGGGGAAGAUGAUGAGUUUAGUUUGAGAUACUAUAAUAAGGAGGUACCUGUGGGACAUGGAUUUAUGUUCAGGAUUCAUUUUUAGUUUUUCAUCCUUGAAUUACAAAAAUGCUUUUUGUAUUGAUGGAAGUAGAAUUAAUCUGAGAAAGAAUUGACAAGGAACCUUUGAACAAUAUGCAUCUAAUCAGGACAGUUCACUUGCAUCAUUGGAGGGCUUUGCUUCUUCACUGUUGUGUCUUCUCCUCUACUUCAUCAGGAAAGGAAGGGCUGUUUUUUCUGAUGAUUCUAUGCUGAGUAAUUGAAACAAACUAACAGUUCCACAGAAGGGAUGCAAACAAGGGUACUUAAUUUUUUUUUUCAUACCAGCACACUUGCAUUCCUCGACAAUGGUGGCUCAGUACAACAAUGAUUAUUCCCCACCCUUCACUCUCUGAGAAUCCUGGUAUUAACUUGUGGUAUGGGACAUGAAUAUUUUCUGCACAUGGAUGGAAAUUAUCUUCUUAUAAAUUUAUAUAAUUUAUAUAAUGUACUUGCAGAAAAUAAAACUAUUACAACUUGUUAUCUUUUAUUUAUUUUUUCAAGUUUGUUUUCUUUGAGAGAGAGAGAACACAAGCAAGGGAGGAACAGAGAGAGAAGGAGAGAGAAAAUCCCAAGGAAGCUCCUCCCUGUCAGUGCAGAGCCCUGAUGCAGGGCUAGAGCUCCUGAACCGUGAGAUCAUGACCUGAGCUGGAAUUAAGAGUUGGAUGCUUAACUGACUGAGCCACCCAGGUGCCCCUAUAACUUAUCUUUUAAAAACAAGUAAUUAUGGAAUUGUUCAUAGGCUUUGUCUUGGGAUUUAGUUUUUUUUUUUUUUUUUUAAUUUUUUUUUUCAACGUUUAUUUAUUUUUGGGACAGAGAGAGACAGAGCAUGAACGGGGGAGGGGCAGAGAGAGAGGGAGACACAGAAUCGGAAACAGGCUCCAGGCUACGAGCCGUCAGCCCAGAGCCCGACGCGGGGCUCGAACUCCCGGACCGCGAGAUCGUGACCUGGCUGAAGUCGGACGCUUAACCGACUGCGCCACCCAGGCGCCCCGGGAUUUAGUUUUUAAAAACUAUCUUGGGGCGCCUGGAUAGCUCAGUCACUUGAGCAUCCAACUCUUGAUUUCACCUCAAGUCAUGAUCCCAGGAUCGUGGGAUUAAGCCCUGCGUUGGGCUCUGUGCUGAGCGCAGAGCCUGUUUAAGAUUCUCUCUCCCUGUCCCUCUCCUUGUCCCUCCCCCCUUCCCUUUCCCUCUCUGUCCCUCUUCUCUGCUUGUGUGCGUGCUGUCUUCUAAAAAAAAAAUCUUGCAUUCAUACAUUUUUCUUUCUUCUGUUUUUAAAAAAUUUCUAGUGCUAAAAACAGUCGAAAAUCUUGGUGUGAGCCAUGUGAAAGGAACCGAGCAAUACCAGAGUAAGUUGGAGGCUGAGAUAAGAAGGCUCAAGUUUUCCUUCAGAGUAAGUAAACAUGGGAAAGAAAUGUUUUUCAGUUUGUAUAUAUUUAUAUACUGAGUCUUGGUUGUGGAAAAUAUCUUGUAUUAGGCACAGGGCUUUUAAAAAAGACUAAAAUAGCAUGGACUGUGCCUGAAGGUAUAUCUGCAGUCCACUAGGAAUGAUUGCCAUAUAUAGUCAGACGAUUAUAAUACAGCAGGGUUUCUCAGCCUCGGAACUACUGACAUUUGGGCCUGAUAAUUUCUUGGUGUAGGGACUGUCCUGUGCAUUGUAGGGUGCUCAGUAGCAUCUCUGGCUUCUACCUGGUAUGUAUCUCCAGACAUUGCCAGAUGUACCCUGUGCACCACAGGAUGAGUACUGUUUCUAGAUAUGUGUUCCAGGAACUCCAAGAGCACAUAGGAUUACCCAGCCCAGCUUGGGGAGGUUUGGGAAGGUGUUAAAGUUCCAGGUAGUGCUGGAACUGAAACUCGAUAGAUGUGAUCAGAUUUUUAUUUUGGGAAGAUAGCAGAUUGAGAGGGCCAUGUCUGUGGGAGGAAAACCAAGUAGCUUGGACAUAAUGAGAGUGAUUCGAAUUGGAGAAAAGGAUGAGAGUGAUUUGAAUUGGAGAAGAGGACUAGUAUAAUGAUAUUAUGAAGGUAGAAUCAAAAGAUUUUAGUGACCUUACAGGGAGAAGGUAAAAGAGAGUUAUGAAUGACACCUUAGGUUUCUGGUUAGGACAACUAUGGAUGGUGGUAGUGUUUUGAGAGGUGACAUAUAGGAGGAGAAGCAAGUCUUAGAAGGAACAUGUUGAGUUCUAGACAAGAAUUUGAGGUUCUAGUGGAACUGUGUAGUAGAUGAUUGGAUAUGCAUAUAGCUUGGACUUAAGGCUGGAGUUGGGAGUAUGGAUUUACGAAGAAGGUUGGAAUCAUCAGGAGGAGGGAAAUAUUUGAGUGAGAAGACGAUGGAGGACAAGAUGUGAAGAAUACCAGUACUGAAGGUGAAGAAGAAUUGGGGGAGUCUGGGAAGGAGAUUGAGAAGGAGCUGCCUGAGAGGUGGGAGAUCAGCAGGGAUAAUAGUGGCAUGGUAGCCAAGGAAAUUUGGAGUUUCCAUAAUGAUGAUUAUGAUGUAAAUACUGAUCCCAUAGGAAUAAUAACAGCAAGCAUUCAUAUUAUGCUUAGUGUAUCCCAGAGUUUGCCCUAAGCACAUUACAUAUAUUAAUCCAUGUAAUAUAGUUAAUAGUCUUAUGAAGCAGGUACAAUUGUCAUCCCUAUUUUAUAGAUAAAGGUACAGAGUUAUUGAUAGGCUGAGUAACUGGCCCAGGCUUAUGAGAUGGUAAAUGGUGGGGCCAAGAUUAGAACUGGACAUUUUGUCUCAGGUGAUACUCUUAACCACAUAAUUUCAGAAGCUUAGGCUCAUGUAAGAUGAGUUGUACGGAUAGAUGAGUUGUAGAUAGAGGCAGAAGCCAAAAUGAGGACAGUGUUUGGAGGAGAGAGGUGGGUAUCGAAUAUGUACUCUUUUAAGAUGGCUAGCUGAAAAGACGGGAGAAAUAGGUCUGAAUAUAGAAGAAUUUGUAGGGAAAAAGAGAGGACACAUAACAGGAGACACUUGAACAUGCUUAUAAGCUGAGUGAAAAAAUCUAGAAGAGAAGAAGAGGAGGGGAGCUUAAAGAUACUUGGAGAGAGCAUUUGAUAAAUCAAGAUCUUUAGGAGCCAAGAGCAGAUGGAUUGCAUGGUUCAGGUUUAGGGAUGAGCUUAUUCAGGAGGAGGGGGAGAUCCUUUGUCCAUAGAGAUGGAAGGGAAAGUAAUACAGUGGAUGCACAAGCUUGGAGCUGAAGAAGUUGGCCUGGUGGCCUUUAUUUUCUGUAAAGUAAGUGAAGUUCUCUGUUGAGAGAGAAGAUGGCGUGGUAGGGAGCUUGGGUCAAGUAGUGAAGACUGAAGCAGCUUUUCUAACAGUGAGGAAAGAGAUGAUUAUGUGUCAAAUCUCUGUUCUAUUGUUUAAUAAGCUUUAUGACUCUGGAAAAAUUUCAGAACAUCCCUGUGCCUCAGUUUCCUCCUUAAAAAAAUUUUUUUUUAUUAAUUUUUAUAUAUUUUUGAGAAAGAGACAGAGUGUGAGCAGGGGAGGGGCAGAAAGAGAGAGGGAGACACAGAAUCCAAAGCAGGCUCCAGGCUCUGAGCUGUCAGAGCAGAGCCUGUUGCGUGGCUAAAACUCAUGAACCGUGAGAUCAUGAUCUGAGCUGAAGUUGGAUGCUUAACUGACUGAGCCACCUAGGCGGUUUCCUCAUAUUUAAAAUAGGGAUAUAGUAGUGCUUACCUCAUGAGAGUUUUUUUUAAAGAUUAAGUGAGUUAAUAGAUUAAACAUGCUUACAACAGUGCUGUAAGUGUACCUCAUAAAUGCUCAAGACAUGUUUGCUCUUACUGUGUUGGACUUGAAUAAGAAUUUCUUGGUGCAUAAAAGUCCAGUUCAGGUUAGAGGUUGUGAAUUUUUAAUAUUCCAAAUUCUCAGUAAUUGUGUAUUUUUUUCCCCCAGAAAUUCUUAGUGUUUUGGGAAUAGGACUGCAGAUUUAUUUAGAAUCUAGGUUUGGCCAGAUGGUUAAAUGAAGGUUCAUGCCGGAGGUGGUGGAAGAGGGGAGAACCCUGGAUAUAUGCUGGGUAAGAAAGAAAGUUAAGAGAGGAGUUGAUAGGAAGAGAGUCCAAACCCAGGAGGUUUUGUUUGAGAUCAGGUCAGAUCUCAGUGUCACUUGUUUGCUAACGUAAGUAAAAUGGUAAUUACAUAUUAUGAAAUUUGUUUUUGAAACUUUUAUUUUAGCAUUGGCUUAUAUUGACUCCAUUUUUCUUUAUACCUCUUAACAUUCUAAUGUGUUUAUGUUAUUCAUGUGUCAUUAUUUUUAAGGAAAAUGUAGAAAAUGAAUAUGAACGCCGAAGAAGAGAUCAUAUUUCUCACUUUAUUUUACGCCUUGCUUAUUGCCAGUCGUGAGUAUACGUUUAGACUCUCAUAGUCAAAGCUGCUAUCUUGGGUUACAAAUUGGUACGUGGGAAGCUGACAUGUAUUGUACUGCACAUAGGAAAACUCAGAAUAACAUCAGAAGCUGGUGAUUCAUGGGUUGAACACUGUUGUUGCAAAUUGUUUGAAGCCAGUUGUUUACUAAAAAAAAUUGUAAAAAAUUCUAUUGUAAAACUUGCCUGUUGAAACACUUACUAGUUUUAUGGGAGAGGCUCUUCAUUUGGGAUUUGCAAUUGUGGGGGUGGGGGGAUUUCGGUAAGAAAGGACUUUUUGAUCCUGUUUUCUCAGAAAAAAAGUGGCACUAUUUAUAAGAAAUAAUACCUCAAACAUAUACUUGAAUUUAGUACAGGUGUAAGCUAUUUUCCCUUUGCUAGUUGGUUUCUUGUAAGUCUACAGUGCCACCCAGAGGGAGAAGGAGUUAGUUGCCUUUUUCUUUUUUUUUUUAAACUGUUUUUUUUUUUUUCUGUACUAAUUUUGGCUAAAUAAUAUACUUAGUGUAAGUUUCUUUUCUGUUUCUUUCUGUUAAGAGUCUUAUCAAAUGAGAAUCUUGAAUUGUUUAGUAUCCCACUUAUCCCUGGACAGGUGAUCCUAUCCACGACCAUCUUUGGUUCUGGAGGUUUUCUUUUGUAAAGAUGAAUGUGCAGUUUAUGUAAUUUAUGCAGUCAAUGAAUUGCUGACAAUCUGUGAAAGUCCCUUUGGGGGGGGGAACUACAUCAUAUUUUAUCUAUAGUAGUAUAAUUAUUUUGUGACAAUAGUAAUAACCAUUAUGUAUUUUAUGAAUUUAUAUUUGUUGCUUUUUCAAAAAUCAAGAUGUAGUUGUGCAUAUUAAAUUUUGUGAAAUUAUUAACUAUAAAGCUGUAAACAAAGUUUACUUUAAGAGUUUAUCUGAUCAUAAUCUAUUCGGAGAUAAAGUGACCUUUAAAAAUUUUGGUUUUGGGGCACCUGGGUGGCUCAGUCAGUUGAGCGUCUGACUUCGGCUCAGGUCAUGAUCUCCGUUUGUGAGUUCGAGCCCCGCGUCGGGCUCUGUGGUGACAGCUCAGAGCCUGGAGCCUGUUUCAGAUUCUGUGUCUCCUUCUCUCUCUGACCCUCCACUGCUCAUGCUCUAUCUCUCCCUCCCUGUCAAAAAUAAAUGUUAAACAAAAUUUUUUUUGGUGUUGAUUUGGCACUGAUGAAACCACCUUAGACUGAAGGAAUACCCCAUUUUCUGAUGUGAAUGACCGUUUUGCAGUUAAAUGCAAUGAACUGUUUUCUUUUAUAUUGUUGGAUAAUCAGCUAGGCUCAAGGUAUUCUGUGUUUAAUUCUGUAUUCAUAAUACCUCUCCCAAUGUUCACAUCCUUGAAGAUUGUGGUAUGUGCUCUGUAUACUGUUUAUCAUAAUAGACGACAUGUGUGCUUUUAACUUCUGUCUGUUGGCAUCUUGCUCAUAUUUGAGUUUUAUUUCAUAAAAAUUUCUUGAUUUAAUAAUCCAUGGACUUUUAAAAUAAUCAGUGGACUUUUCAUUUAUACUUAUCGUUUCUCUGUUUUGAUUUCAGUGAGGAUCUUAGACGCUGGUUCAUUCAACAAGAAAUGGAUCUCCUUCGAUUUCGAUUCAGUAUUUUACCCAAAGACAAGAUUCAAAGUUUCUUAAAGGAUAGCCAUUUGCAUUUUGAGGCCGUGAGUAUGGUUUUGUAGCCAUUUUCAGUUGUUUUCACCAUUCAUCCCUUCCCAUUCACCUUAAGUGCGAGUAUUAAUGUGAGGUGUUUUUUCUGUUUACAUUUUCUUAAGUACUUGCCUGAAAGAAUAGCUAUUGGCUUUGCACAGCAAUGAAACUUUGCCUUUCCGUGACUAGAAGAAAAGGGACUCCUUAGUACCGAAGUUUCGCAUUUAGUUGCUUUAUUAAAUAUGUGACUUGUGAAAGCACAAGAAGGUUUAAUUUAUAAGAGUUCAUCUUUAAUCUUCUAGGCUGAAAAUUUAAAGCUAAUAAUAUACAUUAAA